rnacentral:rRNA from 1 species
AGACCCGAAACCCGGUGAUCUAGCCAUGGGCAGGUUGAAGGUUGGGUAACACUAACUGGAGGACCGAACCGACUAAUGUUGAAAAAUUAGCGGAUGACCUGUGGCUGGGGGUGAAAGGCCAAUCAAACCGGGAGAUAGCUGGUUCUCCCCGAAAGCUAUUUAGGUAGCGCCUCGUGAAUUCAUCUCCGGGGGUAGAGCACUGUUUCGGCUAGGGGGCCAUCCCGGCUUACCAACCCGAUGCAAACUGCGAAUACCGGAGAAUGUUAUCACGGGAGACACACGGCGGGUGCUAACGUCCGUCGUGAAGAGGGAAACAACCCAGACCGCCAGCUAAGGUCCCAAAGUCAUGGUUAAGUGGGAAACGAUGUGGGAAGGCCCAGACAGCCAGGAUGUUGGCUUAGAAGCAGCCAUCAUUUAAAGAAAGCGUAAUAGCUCACUGGUCGAGUCGGCCUGCGCGGAAGAUGUAACGGGGCUAAACCAUGCACCGAAGCUGCGGCAGCGACGCUUAUGCGUUGUUGGGUAGGGGAGCGUUCUGUAAGCCUGUGAAGGUGGCCUGUGAGGGUUGCUGGAGGUAUCAGAAGUGCGAAUGCUGACAUAAGUAACGAUAAAGCGGGUGAAAAGCCCGCUCGCCGGAAGACCAAGGGUUCCUGUCCAACGUUAAUCGGGGCAGGGUGAGUCGACCCCUAAGGCGAGGCCGAAAGGCGUAGUCGAUGGGAAACGGGUUAAUAUUCCCGUACUUGGUGUUACUGCGAAGGGGGGACGGAGAAGGCUAUGUUGGCCGGGCGACGGUUGUCCCGGUUUAAGCGUGUAGGCUGGUUUUCCAGGCAAAUCCGGAAAAUCAAGGCUGAGGCGUGACGACGAGGCACUACGGUGCUGAAGCAACAAAUGCCCUGCUUCCAGGAAAAGCCUCUAAGCAUCAGGUAACAUCAAAUCGUACCCCAAACCGACACAGGUGGUCAGGUAGAGAAUACCAAGGCGCUUGAGAGAACUCGGGUGAAGGAACUAGGCAAAAUGGUGCCGUAACUUCGGGAGAAGGCACGCUGACACGUAGGUGAAGUGAUUUACUCAUGGAGCUGAAGUCAGUCGAAGAUACCAGCUGGCUGCAACUGUUUAUUAAAAACACAGCACUGUGCAAACACGAAAGUGGACGUAUACGGUGUGACGCCUGCCCGGUGCCGGAAGGUUAAUUGAUGGGGUCAGCGCAAGCGAAGCUCCUGAUCGAAGCCCCGGUAAACGGCGGCCGUAACUAUAACGGUCCUAAGGUAGCGAAAUUCCUUGUCGGGUAAGUUCCGACCUGCACGAAUGGCGUAAUGAUGGCCAGGCUGUCUCCACCCGAGACUCAGUGAAAUUGAACUCGCUGUGAAGAUGCAGUGUACCCGCGGCAAGACGGAAAGACCCCGUGAACCUUUACUAUAGCUUGACACUGAACAUUGAGCCUUGAUGUGUAGGAUAGGUGGGAGGCUUUGAAGUGUGGACGCCAGUCUGCAUGGAGCCGACCUUGAAAUACCACCCUUUAAUGUUUGAUGUUCUAACGUGGACCCGUUACCCGGGUUGCGGACAGUGUCUGGUGGGUAGUUUGACUGGGGCGGUCUCCUCCUAAAGAGUAACGGAGGAGCACGAAGGUUGGCUAAUCCUGGUCGGACAUCAGGAGGUUAGUGCAAUGGCAUAAGCCAGCUUGACUGCGAGCGUGACGGCGCGAGCAGGUGCGAAAGCAGGUCAUAGUGAUCCGGUGGUUCUGAAUGGAAGGGCCAUCGCUCAACGGAUAAAAGGUACUCCGGGGAUAACAGGCUGAUACCGCCCAAGAGUUCAUAUCGACGGCGGUGUUUGGCACCUCGAUGUCGGCUCAUCACAUCCUGGGGCUGAAGUAGGUCCCAAGGGUAUGGCUGUUCGCCAUUUAAAGUGGUACGCGAGCUGGGUUUAGAACGUCGUGAGACAGUUCGGUCCCUAUCUGCCGUGGGCGCUGGAGAACUGAGGGGGGCUGCUCCUAGUACGAGAGGACCGGAGUGGACGCAUCACUGGUGUUCGGGUUGUCAUGCCAAUGGCACUGCCCGGUAGCUAAAUGCGGAAGAGAUAAGUGCUGAAAGCAUCUAAGCACGAAACUUGCCCCGAGAUGAGUUCUCCCUGAGACUUAGAGUCUCCUGAAGGAACGUUGAAGACGACGACGUUGAUAGGCCGGGUGUGUAAGCGCAGCGAUGCGUUGAGCUAACCGGUACUAAUGAACCGUGAGGCUUAACCUUACAACGCCGAAG